CUAGAACCUCACAACGGCCUGAAUUAGCUGUUCCUGAUGGCCCUGUCUGUGCGGCAGGUGCGUGUAGGUGAGUGUGUCUGUGCGGCAGGUGCGUGUAGGUGAUUGUGUCUGGGCUGAAGCUGUGUGUAGGUGAGUGUGUCUGGGCUGAAGCUGUGUGUAGGUGAGUGUGUCUGGGCUGCAGCUGUGUGUAGGUGAGUGUGUCUGUGCUGCAGGUGUGUCUGUG